rnacentral:rRNA from 1 species
GUCCACGCCGUAAACUAUGAUGACUGGUUGUUAGCGAUAUACCGUUAGCGACUGAGUGAAAGCAUUAAGUAAUCCACCUGGGGAGUACGUCGGCAACGAUGAAACUCAAAGGAAUUGACGGGGGCCCGCACAAGCGGAGGAACAUGUGGUUUAAUUCGAUGAUACGCGAGGAACCUUACCUGGGCUCGAACGCGAAAAGAAUAUAGGGGAAACCUUAUAGCUAGCAAUAGCUUUUUGCGAGGUGCUGCAUGGUUGUCGU